rnacentral:rRNA from 1 species
AUGAAGCCUUGCACCGCCGCCACCGUAGCACCUUGUUGCCGAAGCCGCUACGCCAUGGACCGCCAACACCUCGCACAACUGAGAGAACACGGCCUAAACUCCACCAGCAACCCAGACGAGGAGCAGCAGCCUCCAACCACCUCGGGCAAGGACCAGAGCCACCGCGAUAGUCGUCACUCGCACCAGGGGACAACCACACAACUGACCAACCCCUCAGGCCCAAAUCGAAACCCAGAUCUGACCGCCCCAUCUCGCAACAACUCCGACGCCGGUUCCACCAGAAAAGCACCACCGCACACUCACAGGCGCGGAGGUGGCCAGCCGCCUGCUAGGAUCUCCUUCCUGCCUGGGCCCCCUCAGCGCCGCCGCCUCCAUUGUCGUGAGCACACACUGCCGCCACUAGCUCACGCUGACACACCACCCUGGUCCUCCUCUCUGCUGCCUACCCCGCCGGGCACCGACGCUCCUCCGUGCUCCCGUCGUGCGCUGCCGAGCUCCACCGAGAUUUCGCGCCUCCGGCCACAUCACCGCAGCCAUUGUAACAUCCCGCCUCCACGCGAAGGGGGCCCGUCGGGGCGCACCGCCAGCACCCACCGCCUUCAACGGCCGGGCGCGGCCGCCACCGUCGGCGCCGGCGCGACAGCGGCCGAGGGAAGGAGAUCAGGGGCCUUUUUUUUCUAG